UUGAACGCUGGCGGCAGGCCUAACACAUGCAUGUCGAGCGGAUGAAGGGAGCUUGCUCCUGGAUUCAGCGGCGGACGGGUGAGUAAUGCCUAGGAAUCUGCCUGGUAGUGGGGGAUAACGUCCGGAAACGGGCGCUAAUACCGCAUACGUCCUGAGGGAGAAAGUGGGGGAUCUUCGGACCUCACGCUAUCAGAUGAGCCUAGGUCGGAUUAGCUAGUUGGUGGGGUAAAGGCCUACCAAGGCGACGAUCCGUAACUGGUCUGAGAGGAUGAUCAGUCACACUGGAACUGAGACACGGUCCAGACUCCUACGGGAGGCAGCAGUGGGGAAUAUUGGACAAUGGGCGAAAGCCUGAUCCAGCCAUGCCGCGUGUGUGAAGAAGGUCUUCGGAUUGUAAAGCACUUUAAGUUGGGAGGAAGGGCAGUAAGUUAAUACCUUGCUGUUUUGACGUUACCAACAGAAUAAGCACCGGCUAACUUCGUG
rnacentral:rRNA from 1 species